AUGAACGCUGGCGGCGUGCCUAAUACAUGCAAGUCGAGCGAACGGACGAGAAGCUUGCUUUUCUGAUGUUAGCGGCGGACGGGUGAGUAACACGUGGAUAACCUACCUAUAAGGCUGGGAUAACUUCGGGAAACCGGAGCUAAUACCGGAUAAUAUUUUGAACCGCAUGGUUCAAAAGUGAAAGACGGUCUUGCUGUCACUUAUAGAUGGAUCCGCGCUGCAUUAGCUAGUUGGUAAGGUAACGGCUUACCAAGGCAACGAUGCAUAGCCGACCUGAGAGGGUGAUCGGCCACACUGGAACUGAGACACGGUCCAGACUCCUACGGGAGGCAGCAGUAGGGAAUCUUCCGCAAUGGGCGAAAGCCUGACGGAGCAACGCCGCGUGAGUGAUGAAGGUCUUCGGAUCGUAAAACUCUGUUAUUAGGGAAGAACAUAUGUGUAAGUAACUGUGCACAUCUUGACGGUACCUAAUCAGAAAGCCACGGCUAACUACGUG
rnacentral:rRNA from 1 species